UCUAGACGAAACUCAGUGUUUGCAGUCUCGAAAAGGAAGCAUCAGUCGAAGAAGUUCAGGAAAAGUUGGAAGAGUCUUGCUUACUAAGAACGAACUACGGCGCCGAAAGAUGGGAAAGGAGAAACGUAAAGGCUUGCUCGCAGCGAAUAAUAGAACGAAAGAAUCGUAAAGAGAUGUCGGACAUGCCUUGGGACAUUAAUGCACGCAAAUACAAAACUCGAUUUCGACAAUAUGCAUGAGUAAAAAUUGCAUGGAA
rnacentral:lncRNA from 1 species